GUGGGGAAUAUUGCACAAUGGGCGCAAGCCUGAUGCAGCAACGCCGCGUGAGGGAUGACGGCCUUCGGGUUGUAAACCUCUUUUAGUAGGGAAGAAGCGAAAGUGACGGUACCUGCAGAAAAAGCACCGGCUAACUACGUGCCAGCAGCCGCGGUAAUACGUAGGGUGCAAGCGUUGUCCGGAAUUAUUGGGCGUAAAGAGCUCGUAGGCGGCUUGUCGCGUCUGCUGUGAAAACCCGAGGCUCAACCUCGGGCCUGCAGUGGGUACGGGCAGGCUAGAGUGCGGUAGGGGAGAUUGGAAUUCCUGGUGUAGCGGUGGAAUGCGCAGAUAUCAGGAGGAACACCGAUGGCGAAGGCAGAUCUCUGGGCCGUAACUGACGCUGAGGAGCGAAAGCAUGGGGAGCGAACAGGAUUAGAUACCCUAGUAGUCC
rnacentral:rRNA from 1 species